GAACCCUUUGGGGAAACUUAUAGUGGUGAUGGAUAUGUUCAUUAUUUUUAUUAUUGUGAUUGUUUCACAGGAGUAUACAUUUAUCAAAACUUACCAAAUUGUACUUGUUUAAAAUGUGCUUCAAGAUGCUUCUAUAAUUUGAAUAAAAGAGAAAAAAAAAACACCACAAGCCCUGGGUUUUGGCUCUGGAAAGAAGUACAGGAAGAGACAGACUAGACCAUAAUCAGAUGCUAAUCCCAAUAAAACUAUUUCUCCUGGGGUUGUGAGCAGAGAGAAUAAAUGAACAACUGCAAGUCUGUGGUUUGAGUCAGAAAAUGGAAGAGGGGGCUCAAGAGGAAAAAAGAUGGCAGUAAGCCAAGGCCUGUGGGGGAUUCUGUCUAAUUUUCAAGUAUAAUGCCUACACUCAAUUUUAAGCAGUUGCCUAUCAGCCCUAACAUUACCCACAGA